rnacentral:rRNA from 1 species
UUAAGCUAAUAAGAGCACACGGAGGAUGCCUAGGCGCUAGGAGCCGAAGAAGGACGUGGCGAACGACGAAAUCGCCUCGGGGAGCCGUAAGCAGGCUUUGAUCCGGGGAUAUCCGAAUGGGGGAACCCAGCUGAGGUAAUUCUCAGUUACUCACAUCUGAAUACAUAGGGUGUGCAGAGGCAUACGAGGGGAACUGAAACAUCUAAGUACCCUCAGGAGAAGAAAACAAAAGUGAUUCCGUCAGUAGCGGCGAGCGAAAGCGGAACAGCCCAAACCAGAGGGCUUGCUCUCUGGGGUUGUGGGACGUCAACGUAGGUGCAGCAGGGUAGACGAAGCGGUCUGGAAAGGCCGGCCAUAGAAGGUAAAAGCCCUGUAAUUGAAAUUCUGCGAACACCUUAGACGGAUCCCGAGUACCGCGAGACACGUGAAACCUCGUGGGAAGCAGGCAGGACCAUCUGCCAAGGCUAAAUACUCCCUAGCGACCGAUAGUGAAGCAGUACCGUGAGGGAAAGGUGAAAAGAACCGCGGGAGCGGAGUGAAAUAGAACCUGAAACCGUGUGCUUACAAGAAGUCAGAGCCCGUUAAUGGGUGAUGGCGUGCCUUUUGUAGAAUGAACCGGCGAGUUACGUUCCCGUGCAAGGUUAAGGUGAAGAGCCGAAGCCGCAGCGAAAGCGAGUCUGAAUAGGGCGACGAAGUACGUGGGCGUAGACCCGAAACCGUGUGAUCUACCCCUGUCCAGGGUGAAGGUGCGGUAACACGCACUGGAGGCCCGAACCCACGAAUGUUGAAAAAUUCGGGGAUGAGGUGGGGGUAGCGGAGAAAUUCCAAUCGAACUCGGAGAUAGCUGGUUCUCCCCGAAAUAGCUUUAGGGCUAGCCUCGGGAGAUGAGUAGUGGAGGUAAAGCACUGAUUGGGUGCGGGGCCCGCCAAGGGUUACCAAGUCCAGUCAAACUCUGAAUGCCACAUACUUUAUCCCGGGAGUCAGACAGUGAGUGCUAAGAUCCAUUGUCAAGAGGGAAACAGCCCAGACCAUCAGCUAAGGUCCCCCAGUGUGUGUUAAGUGGGAAAGGAUGUGGAGUUGCGCAGACAACCAGGAUGUUGGCUUAGAAGCAGCCACCAUUGAAAGAGUGCGUAAUAGCUCACUGGUCGAGUGACUCUGCGCCGAAAAUGUAACGGGGCUAAACACACCACCGAAGCUAUGGAUUGUAGAUUUUAUCUACUCUGGUAGGGGAGCGUUGUGUAUAGGUUGAAGGUGUACCGUAAGGAGCGCUGGACAGUACACAAGUGAGAAUGCCGGUAUGAGUAACGAAAAGAUCAGUGAGAAUCUGAUCCGCCGAAAGCCUAAGGGUUCCUGAGGAAGGCUCGUCCGCUCAGGGUAAGUCGGGACCUAAGGCGAGGCCGAAAGGCGUAGUCGAAGGACAACAGGUUGAAAUUCCUGUACCACCGUGAACCGUUAUGAGCAAUGGGGUGACGCAGAAGGAUAGUGACGCGGGCUGAUGGAUGCCCGUCCAAGCAGAGAGGCUGAUGUGUAGGCAAAUCCGCACAUCGAUAAGGCUGGUCUGUGAUGGGGAGUGAAAAUAACAGUAGCGAAGGUCAUGAGUUCAGGCUGCCAAGAAAAGCCUCUAGCCAGGGAGAAGGUGCCCGUACCGCAAACCGACACAGGUAGGCGAGCAGAGCAUGCUAAGGCGCGCGGAAGAACUCUCGUUAAGGAACUCGGCAAAAUGACCCCGUAACUUCGGGAGAAGGGGUGCCUCGGUAGGGUGAAUAGCCCGAGGGGGCCGCAGUGAAAAGGCCCAAGCGACUGUUUAGCAAAAACACAGGUCUGUGCGAAGCCGCAAGGCGAAGUAUACGGGCUGACGCCUGCCCGGUGCUGGAAGGUUAAGGGGAGUGGUUAGGGAGCAAUCCCGAAGCUAUGAACCGAAGCCCCAGUAAACGGCGGCCGUAACUAUAACGGUCCUAAGGUAGCGAAAUUCCUUGUCAGGUAAAUUCUGACCCGCACGAAUGGCGUAACGACUUGGGCGCUGUCUCAACGAGAGAUCCGGUGAAAUUUUAAUACCUGUGAAGAUGCAGGUUACCCGCGACAAGACGGAAAGACCCCAUGGAGCUUUACUGCAGCUUGAUAUUGGACUUUGGUACGAUCUGUACAGGAUAGGUGGGAGCCUGAGAAGCAUGAGCGCCAGCUUGUGUGGAGGCGACGUUGGGAUACCACCCUGAUCGUAUCGGAGUUCUAACCUGGUACCGUAGAUCCGGUAUGGGGACAGUGUCAGGUGGGCAGUUUGACUGGGGCGGUCGCCUCCUAAAGCGUAACGGAGGCGCCCCAAGGUUCCCUCAGAAUGGUUGGAAAUCAUUCGAAGAGUGCAAAGGCAGAAGGGAGCUUGACUGCGAGACAAACAGGUCGAGCAGGGACGAAAGUCGGGCUUAGUGAUCCGGUGGUACCGAAUGGAAGGGCCAUCGCUCAACGGAUAAAAGCUACCCUGGGGAUAACAGGCUUAUCUCCCCCAAGAGUCCACAUCGACGGGGAGGUUUGGCACCUCGAUGUCGGCUCAUCGCAUCCUGGGGCUGAAGUAGGUCCCAAGGGUUGGGCUGUUCGCCCAUUAAAGCGGUACGCGAGCUGGGUUCAGAACGUCGUGAGACAGUUCGGUCCCUAUCUGUCGUGGGCGUAGGAAAUUUGAGAGGAGCUGUCCUUAGUACGAGAGGACCGGGAUGGACGUACCGCUGGUGUACCAGUUGUUCCGCCAGGAGCAUGGCUGGAUAGCUACGUACGGACGGGAUAAGCGCUGAAAGCAUCUAAGCGUGAAGCCCCCCUCAAGAUGAGAUUUCCCAGUAAGUAAGACCCCUUGAAGACGACGAGGUAGAUAGGUUCGGGGUGGAAGCACGGCAACGUGUGGAGCUGACGAAUACUAAUCGGUCGAGGGCUUAACCAA